ensembl:lncRNA
AUACAUUUUUGAAACUUUAAUGAUACUUAAUGGGAUACCUUUUUUAUUCUUUUCUGGAGAGAAAUGCCAAAUGAUGAGUGAAAAAAGAGGGAAUCCUGAUUUUAUUUCACUGUUACGGUAUACUUUGUUUAAAGAGAUCAGGGAAGCCCACAGUAGUGAAAAUAAAAUACUUUUCUCAUGUUGCCAAUACUUCCCUACAGAAUUGAAGAUGUCACCCUUGGCUUGUAUGUUAAUUUCAGCCUGUCAACCAUGUCUGGGAUUCAGACACCUGCGAGAAUUGAGGCUGGUGCUCACGGCUGGAGCAGCUCUAGAAGAUGAGUGAGUGUGAACCUGAUCUGUCUGGAAUUUGAAUCUGAUUUGUAUUUAUUUGCUGGGUGGAAUGGCUGAGGCAUCGGUGUGCUAUGUAGCUGAUCUUCAUAUUUAAGCCUCUACUCACCCAGUGACUUGUGUUGACUGUGGGCCUGUUGAACAAACUGCUGCUUCUCUCUGUGUUUCUGUCUCCACUUAGAUAAAAGAAUGGCAGUAAUCCCCGCCAAGGUGAAUGGAAGCCGUCUUUGACCACAUGCAGAUGAUGAGAGACUACAGUGUGAAAUAUCUGUGCUUAAUAAUGAUAACUAGGAGUAUUUGUUGGCAAAUGCAAGCCUCAGGAUGGCAGAAGGGCUGCAAAGUAUAGAGUUGUGGUCCAAAGUGUGCUGCAGUUUUAAACAAAGAAUGGAAACCUAUGUCAUGAUUCUCUUACUUCCCAUUUUACCCACUAAGUAUAAUAUUUGCUAAUCAUCUAAGGGUGACCAAUUGGUUUUCUCCAACUCUUCCAAGCCAUCUGCUGCAGUAAAAUGCACAAAGUGGACCAUGAAAACAGCAGAAGUUUCCAUUUCAAUGUGUAUCCAUCUCCAAUGUCCUUCUCAAGCAUUUUACUUCACAGAAAACUACGUCUAUUAAUACACUAGUAUAUCAUUUAAAGUUUCUGAAUUCUUGAUCUCUUAAUCAUGAUCUGGAUUUAGUUAUUAAUAUAUCAUAACAAAAAUGGAUACCAUAUACUGAGUACUUAUUGUAAAUAUUGGGUCAAAUCCUUACAAAUAUAUUUCUUGUUUAAUUCUAUAUGCAACUCAUGAGACAAGUUCCAGUUUUAUUCCCAUUUUACAUAAGGAACUGAUAGAGUUCUCAGUGAUUUGUUACUUUAACAUUACAUGUUUAACUAUUAUGCUGUACUUCCCCAAAUAAACCAUGCUCUCUGGCUACCCA